rnacentral:rRNA from 1 species
ACUCAAAUGAAUUGACGGGGGCCCGCACAAGCGGAGGAGCAUGUGGCUUAAUUCGAUGCAACGCGAAGAACCUUACCUGGGCUUGACAUGCAGAGUUCAAGCGGUGAAAGCCGCUGGCCGCAAGGCGAUCUGCACAGGUGCUGCAUGGCUGUCGUCAGUUCGUGCCGUGAGGUGUUGGGUUAAGUCCCGCAACGAACGCAACCCUUGUGUUUAGUUGCCACCGGCGUGAUAAACGUCGAGCACUCUAAACAGACUGCCCGUGACAAGCGGGAGGAAGGUGGGGAUGACGUCAAGUCAGUAUGGCCCUUACGUCCAGGGCUGCACACGUGCUACAAUGGCUGGUACAGAGGGAUGCAAGACCGCAAGGUGGAGCAAAUCCUGAAAACCGGCCCCAGUUCGGAUUGAAGGCUGCAACUCGCCUUCAUGAAGCCGGAUUCGCUAGUAAUGGCGCAUCAGCUACGGCGCCGUGAAUACGUUCCCGGGCCUUGUACACACCGCCCGU